AACGCUAGCUACAGGCUUAACACAUGCAAGUCGAGGGGUAACGAGAGGAAAGCUUGCUUUCCUUGUCGACGACCGGCGCACGGGUGAGUAACGCGUAUCCAACCUGCCCCCAACUAGGGAAUAACCUUGCGAAAGUAAGACUAAUACCCUAUAAUUUCCUCAGAUGUCAUCUGACGAGGAAUAAAGAUUUAUCGGUUGUGGAUGGGGAUGCGUCUGAUUAGCUUGUUGGCGGGGUAACGGCCCACCAAGGCAACGAUCAGUAGGGGUUCUGAGAGGAAGGUCCCCCACAUUGGAACUGAGACACGGUCCAAACUCCUACGGGAGGCAGCAGUGAGGAAUAUUGGUCAAUGGGUGGAAGCCUGAACCAGCCAAGUAGCGUGCAGGAUGACGGCCCUAUGGGUUGUAAACUGCUUUUAUACAGGAAUAAAGUUAGCCACGUGUGGUUAUUUGUAGGUACUGUAUGAAUAAGGACCGGCUAAUUCCGUGCCAGCAGCCGCGGUAAUACGGAAGGUCCAGGCGUUAUCCGGAUUUAUUGGGUUUAAAGGGAGCGUAGGCCGUCUGUUAAGCGUGUUGUGAAAUGUAGAUGCUCAACAUCUGAAUUGCAGCGCGAACUGGCAGACUUGAGUGUGCGCAACGUAGGCGGAAUUCGUGGUGUAGCGGUGAAAUGCUUAGAUAUCACGAAGAACUCCGAUUG
rnacentral:rRNA from 1 species